rnacentral:rRNA from 1 species
UGGGGAAUAUUGGGCAAUGGGCGGAAGCCUGACCCAGCGACGCCGCGUGGGGGAAGAAGUCUUUCGGGAUGUAAACCCUUGUUGUACGGGACGAAGGAAGUGACGGUACCGUACGAGGAAGCCCCGGCAAACUACGUGCCAGCAGCCGCGGUAAUACGUAGGGGGCGAGCGUUGUCCGGAAUCACUGGGCGUAAAGCGCACGUAGGCGGGCUGUCAAGUCGGCCGUGAAAGGCACGGGCGCAACCUGUGCAUGUCGUUCGAUACUGGCGGUCUUGAGUAUGGGAGAGUGAACUGGAAUUCCCGGUGUAGCGGGGAAAUGCGUAGAUAUCGGGAGGAACACCAGUGGCGAAGGCGGGUUCCUGGCCCAUGACUGACGCUGAGGUGCGAAAGCCGGGGGAGCGAACG